UACGUAGGGUGCAAGCGUUGUCCGGAAUUAUUGGGCGUAAAGAGCUCGUAGGCGGUCUGUCGCGUCGGCUGUGAAAUCCCGAGGCUCAACCUCGGGUCUGCAGUCGAUACGGGCAGACUAGAGUUCGGUAGGGGAGACUGGAAUUCCUGGUGUAGCGGUGAAAUGCGCAGAUAUCAGGAGGAACACCGAUGGCGAAGGCAGGUCUCUGGGCCACUACUGACGCUGAGAAGCGAAAGCAUGGGGGAGCGAACAGG
rnacentral:rRNA from 1 species